ensembl:lncRNA
AUGGGCGCAUUGGCCUCGCCCAGUCCAGUUGUUUUUUGUUUUUUAAGAUCCGAUUAUUCAGACAGCACUCGAAUGCAUCGCAGGCCGGCCAACACGGGACGAAACAAAAGAGCGCGUGGUCAGUUCACGGACAUGCUGCUGUUGUUCCUGACAGUUUCCGGCGUGCUCAUUGAGGCAUCCGCUGAUAUUGAGCAUGAAAGUCUGUGCUAUGGCAGCACUUUCAACUUACCAGUUCGUUUUACGCCCCCUGAUUUCCGUGGACAACUGUACUUCACUCCGAGCAUGGGGGGAUCCAGGAAGCUGCUGAUCAAUGAUGGGGAGGCAAAGGACCCGCGUCUGAACAUCUCCCUUGGCUCAGUUCGUUUGACAGAUUUGACAGAAAGAGACAAUGGAACUUUUUCCAUCUCAUUUGGUGAUGAAAGCACAAACGAUAUCAUCACGCUGACAAUUGAUGAUUGUGCUGAAAAGAUCACAAAAUAUUACGGGGAUAUCUAUGGCAGUACUCUUCCGAAGGGGACAGAAUUUGUGGAGUUCACUCCGCUUCACCUUCGGGACCAACCACAGGUGGUGUGGAAUGGCACCAACCUGCAGAAGAAUGGCAAAAUACGGAUGUUUUUUUCAUACCUGGAGAUCUUCAGAGUCACUCAAGCAGACAACGGCUACUACAACUUCAGGAAAAAGGACAACACUUUGCUGUCGAGGAUACUGCUCAUAGUACAAGAGAACAAUAGACGCUCUGAAGUAUGGGUAAAAGAGCGGCUCUCCAUCCAAUAUCCGAUGUUCGAUGUUAAGUGGACUGUGACUUUUACACCGAAGGGGAAAAUGGAAACUCAAACGUGGAUAGAGGGAAACAGACUGGUCACAGGGGAUCUUUCAGGGAGGAUUUGGUUGGUGCAUAAUGGCAUAGACAUCGAUGUGGAAAGCACAGACUCUGGCACCUUGGAAUUCAGAGACCGACAAGGCAACCUGGCCUUGACUGUGGAGGUGAACGUAAUAGCUGAGGAAACAGAUCCCACAUUUAUAUAUGUUGCUCCUGCUCUUGUGAUCAUCUUUGUGGUGGUUGUUGGCUGCUGCUGCGUGAAGAAGUUCUGUUUCAAAAAGAGGUCUUCAAGUAACGAGCCUGCUCCUCAGACUGCUGCAGCACCCGCUGUGUAUUACCAUUUUCAAGAUACAAAUCCAAGUUAUUCUGCUGCACCCACAACUUCAGCCCUCUUGUCUCAGCCAAUGACGCCCCCUGUGUCUUCAGAACACUCGAAUGGGCCAUCGGUUGCUGCUCCCACCCUCUCAGUCGGCUCUGAGCCCCAGUCCUCGGACCCCGAGCCAACAUUUGAUCUGAAAGGAGUGACCUUUCCCGCCGCUCCCCUCCUCAGCUCAGACUCGACUCUCUGUGACACGUAUACCUCAGAUAAACUUGACUUUCUGUAAGGAGCACACUGAAAGUUCAAGUGUCAUUGGGUUGACUCUCGCAAUGUGUUCUGCAAAUAACUUGAACACCGAGUAGUAGAGAUGAUGACUGAAAGUGUCGUAGUCAAGACCAAAACACCACAUUUACCAAAUUGAGCCAUAUCGUAUACUAUUUACAUGGUUAUUCCAAUUUUAUUUGUGUGUCUUAAAGUGUAUCAUUAUUUUUUGAGAAUUAUGCAAGAUAAUUUUUUUUUGUUACUUUUUAUUUAAAAAAAAUAUAAAGAUCCUACAAGUGUUUGUCUUCAUUAUAAGUAAAGACGUGUGACCUUACUGUGAGUUUAAUGUUUUAGGAAAAUACAUUUUAUCCUGAUUUUUGAAAGCUGGGUUGAUUCGCCCGUGUUACAAUUCACAGAGAAAAAUUGUAGCAGGUUGGAAAAUAGAAUUGAAACAGUAAUUGAUUAAGAUCUGAGUUUAAUAAGUAUAUAUCUGUCAGUUAGUUUCCAGCACGGGGGUCAGCUGUAUGUCAGGUGGUAGAAAAUGUGGCACGGCUGGUUCUCCCAUUCUAAGCUCUUCCCAUCCGCCUUUUGUUCAAGAAAAAGACUCUUAAUGCAUGUGCACGAGACCACACAUAUGUUUCAAGUAAAUGUAUGGAUAUUAAUACAUUACAUUUUUUCUAAAACACAGCAGCACAAUCCUAGCCUAGUAAAUGUCCACCCGUUUCAAACGUCUCAAAUUCAUGACCAGGGUUUUCUCCAGAAUGUGUCAGGUCCAUAGACUAUAUAAAAGAAAAUAAACUGUACAAAUGGAGUCGUCGUCACCAGGGAAAGUGAAGCCAAUGUGAAACCUGUUUUGUCUGUAAUGACCAGCAGAGGGAGAUUCCACUGUUUGCAAAAAGAAUCAGUUUCUUUAAAAGUAUGUGAGAAAAGGACUCAAUCGAUGUACAACGUCAGUAAACACCUUCCUGAGUAGUUUAUGGUCUCACUCUCCAGUAUCAAGUCUUCUUCAAUACAACAUGAUGUUCAUCAUGGUCCCUUCCUCCAAGUGAAAUAGACAACGAAGCAUGGUAUGCAUUGGGGGCGUGUGAUUGACAGAUAAACUGUCCAGUCCAUGCAAGAUUGCAGGUAAAGGUCAGCGUGCAGUGGACGAGCUCUCAGCCAGGCCUGCCCCCUGCCCCCCUCCCUAAAUGUGGUUACGUCUGACCCCCCCCAUCCCUUCCCCCUUGGGAGGGAUGGCUUUGUACCACAUGCCUCCGUCUCUAAGGACGAAGUCAAAUGUUAUGAAAUACACAUGUACUCAUUGUCUGGGGAAAUUCAGCCACACGUUCCUUCAAUAUUUCAAAGAGCAAAGGGGUUAGACCCAAAACCAGCAUUCCGGAAGCUACGGCGCCAAUAUAGCUGUUUCGUAAAACAAACUUUUUUCCAACUGACUCGUGAUGCGUAAGGAUGUGAAUCGCGGGGCCACGUCUCAUUCGGAUGAACCUCAAACAACCGUCAUGUCCGACAGCCCUCAAACGCAGCCCGGGUCCCUCUACGGACACACCCUGUUGGCUGAGGCCUUGACAACAACCAGCGGACACACGUGAUGCUACACUAACGCAGAGGAAUCUCCCGAGUCAAGAGCGGUGCGUUGUUGUUGAGGUGUCGGUGAAGUGUCGAUGGACUAGCGGCAGAGGGUGUUUUAACUCGGGACUCACGUCGGACGGACACACGAUGAUCGUGCCGCUGCUGCUGCUGCUGCUGAGCGCGUGUGUUAGCACGG